rnacentral:ncRNA from 2 species
CGCGAUUCGUCAGGAGAGAGUGCCCCGCCACACCCGGUGAGCGGCACCGCCGAAGGCGCAGGCACCCGCCGAACGCUCAGGCAAAAGGACUGGCCAAG